ensembl:lncRNA
CGCAGUAGCUGCGGUGUAUCUGCCAUGCCUCACAGAUGGAUGAGUCCUUGCCAGGAGAGACCAGGAUUGGACAUCAGCAGUGUUUGGUCCCUCUGGACACUGGUCUGUGGAAGGAGAGGCCACCAAGACGGUAUUCCGGGGCUAGGCCACCCUGAUGGUAUUCCAGGGCUCCAGGUAGGCCGGUCCCAGUCGGGCCCUAUUGCUGAUCAACUGACCCUCAGGAGUUUAUCAGGAAAGCCUCUAGAGGUAAGAAUUGAAUGAUUCUUAGUGCAGUGUGGGUAGGUAGGAGGAAGCCGGAUGCCGCACAGGUUCCCUUACCUAGAGUCUAUUCAUGACAGCAAGCAGACUCACUGGGUCCAAGUCCUCAGAAGAGCGACUCCCUGGGUGGGGUCCGAAUCCAUUGGGCCCCAGAGGUUUUACUUGGCCAAAGUUUGUCUUUGUCUGUUUAUUGUUGUCUGUCUGCUUGCUCUGUGUGCCUUUUGCAUUUUCACAGGCUAAAAUUAUGGGUUCCUCACAGUCCACAGAAGGAACUCCACUUGAUUGUGUUUUGAAUAACUUUAAAAAAAUUUAUUCCACAGACAGAGAAGAUGAAUAUGGCAUGAAAUUUUCUAAAGGCAAAUUGCAAACUCUGUGUCAAUCAGAAUGGCCAAGUUUUGGAGUCAGUUGGCCCCCGGUGGGAACUUAUUCUGUGCACAUUGCUCGCAAGGUUUGAAAUGUGGUCACAGGAGUCAGGGCCCCAGAGGUCCCAAUCGACCUUUGGCACUUGAUCAGGACAGGACUACAGUCCAUCAGCCCUGUCUUUCUCCUCCCUUUUUCCUUUAAAACGGAGCCCGGGAGAGGAUUGAUUUAUGUCCCUUUUAGAACUAGUGAUCUUUACAAUUGAAAACAUCAAAAUCCCCCCUUCUCUGAAAAACCUCAGGCAUUAAUCUCUUCUUGAGUCUGUUUUUCAUACCCAUCAACCAACCUGGGAUGACUGCCAGCAGCUUUUACAGAUCCUAUUCACCACUGAGGAGUGGGACCGCAUUUAUCAACAGACAGUCAAAGAGGCCCUUGGUCCAAACCCUGGUGUCAUUCCUGGAACUCUGGGGUAUUCAGCCAGGGCUGAAACAGUGGUUCCAUCAUGACGCCCUGAAUGGUGCCCCAAUGAUGAUGACAGUAGGAGGAGGAGGCUGAGGACCUACCGCCAGCACUUAUUAGGGGGACUCCAGGCAGCAGCCAGAAAGCCCACUAAUUUGAGUAAGUUGGCCCCAGACAUUAGAAAAAAAAUUACAGAAAUUGGAGAGAUUUGAGGGAAAAAAUAGAACUGAACUCCUGAACGUAGCCCAGAAAGUUUAUGGUAACUGUGAUGCCCCCCGAGGAAGUCCUAGCCAAGAAACUGGGGAAAAGUCACUAUUGCUGCACUCCAGACACAAGAGACAGUCCCUCCGGACAGAAAAAGAAAAAGCCUUUCAAGAAAGCCUUAGUGUCAGCACCAGCCCUGACCCUACGUGAUGUCACCAAGCCCUUUCAGUUGUCUGUGGCUAAACGAGGGGGCAUAGCCAAAAAAGUGCUAGCUCAGGCAUUAGGGCCUUAAAACAGACCUGUGGUCUACUGUCUAAAAGACUUGAUCCUGUGGCAAGUGGAUGCUCUACCUGUUUGAGGGCAGUUGCAGCCACCACCCUCCUGGUCAAAGAGACAGAUAAACUCAGCCUGGGACAGGACCUGGUCAUCACCACACCCCAUGAGGUGGAAACAUUGCUGAGAGGAACCUCAGAAUGAUGGCUCUCCAACACUCACCUGACUCAGUACCAGGUCCUGUUGCUGGAUGCUCCAUGCAUCAGAUUUGCCCAAGAAAUGACCCUCAAUCUGGCCACCUUACUCCCGGACUCCCACUCAUAUGCAUGCCCUUCCAUGACUGUGUGGACACUCUGACAACUUCUACCACCAACCGCCCAGAUCUGACUGAUGUUGCACUGCAAAGCCCAGAUGAGACCUUCUUCACCGAUGGAAACAGCUUUGUGGAAGACCGAGUCAG